GUAUCAAUAAGCGGAGGAAAAGAAACUAACAAGGAUUCCCCUAGUAACGGCGAGUGAAGCGGUAACAGCUCAAAUUUGAAAUCUGGCUCACGCCCGAGUUGUAAUUUGUAGAAGAUGCUUUGGGUGUAGCUCCGGUCUAAGUUCCUUGGAACAGGACGUCAUAGAGGGUGAGAAUCCCGUAUGUGAUUAGUGCCUGCUCCCGUGUAAAGCUCUUUCGACGAGUCGAGUUGUUUGGGAAUGCAGCUCAAAAUGGGUGGUAUAUUUCAUCUAAAGCUAAAUAUUGGCCAGAGACCGAUAGCGCACAAGUA
rnacentral:rRNA from 1 species